GGACUCCAGCACAAGGCAGAUCCUUCUCUCAGCCCUUGCCAGAACGGUGGUGCAGUGAUGUAUUACCUGCCAACAGCACAAUGUGAGGCAGGGUCCAGCCGUUCUGCCCAGCAUACAACUUGAGGGAGCAGCCCCUUUUGAAGACCUCCAGGUGGACUUCACAGGAAUGCCAAAGUGUGGAGUGAUCAUGUGUGGAUCAAGGACUGGAAUGUAGCCCACCCACAACUACGGUGGGAAGGACCCCAGACCAUCAUUUUGACGACUCUCACAGCAUGAAAAUAGAAGGAUUCCCAGCCUGGAUCAAUCACAGUCAUGUAUCAUCUACAUUGUCUGAGACCUGAGAGGUGAGACUGAGCCUGGUGGACCCCUGCAAAGUGACAUUGAGAAAGAUGGCAAGCCCUGCUACAGUCACAACCAGAAGCUUACUGUUGUAUGCAUGGCAAAAGAAUGAGGAUACUCAUCAUGGGAUUUAUUCUCCUUAAAAUUUGUACUUCUAUAAUAAAGACUGAUUUUU
rnacentral:lncRNA from 1 species